rnacentral:rRNA from 1 species
AUGGAGAGGAUAACCACCAACCCGUUCUAUACCUCUGGAAUCCCAGUAACUGUGCCAUCACCUCUGCCUUCAACCACCAUGGAUGAAAGCUUUACAAGGCUUCCAGAUGCGCAGAAUGUUUUGCUGGAGAGGGAACUGAGAAGAACCCCUCUCCCGCCUCAUCAAAGUACUGUUGCUCCUAUUUGCGGGCAGUUUCACCCCAGUACUGGAUCUGUCGGGCCUCUGCGUUCGCCCCCGGCUGUAAGAUUCUCUUCAGUUCCGAACCCUGAGCAAUACAACGGUGCCAAUCCUUACAUUUCUCAGACGCCAAGCACUGGAAGUUCUUCAGCGAUGGUUUAUGGAUCACACCAUGAAGGCUUCGAACCUACUUUUAAUGAUUUUCCAAGAGAUGUUGGACCAACGUGGUGCCCUGAUCCAGUUGAGAGCAUGCUUGGAUUCUCCGAUGAUGUCCCUGUUGGAAACAAUUUGACUGGCAUCAGUCCUAUUGCAGCUACAGAUGAGCUCGCUAAGCAGACUGAAUGGUGGACCGAUUUUAUGAAUGACGACUGGAAGGACAUUGCUGACAACGCAGGUGCUGCUAAAACUCAUACACAGGCUGGACCGCCUGUGCAAUCAUCGAUUUCAGUUGAUCAAUCAGCCAGCCAGCAAGUUGGUACAACUUCAGUUCACCAAUCAGCCCUCCAGCAAAUAGUUACAACUCAACCUAUAGAAUCAUCUGUAGUUGCUGCACCCUCACCCUCUGCCAGCUCCAACACCUCCAAGACACGCAUGAGGUGGACUCCUGAACUUCAUGAGCGUUUCGUGGACGCUGUCAAUCUGCUUGGUGGCAGUGAAAAAGCUACUCCAAAGGGCGUGCUAAAGCUAAUGAAGGCAGAUAAUUUGACCAUUUAUCAUGUAAAAAGUCAUCUUCAGAAGUACAGAACUGCCCGAUAUAGACCAGAAUUAUCUGAAGGUUCAUCAGAAAGGUUGGAGGCCUCAAAAGAGGAGUUGCCAUCUAUAGACCUUAAAGGGAAUUUUGAUCUCACUGAAGCAUUGCGUCUCCAGUUAGAACUUCAAAAGCGGCUCCAUGAACAGCUUGAGGUGCAAAGAAGUCUGCAGCUGAGAAUCGAGGAGCAAGGGAAGUGCCUUCAGAUUAUGAUCGAGCAGCAAUGCAAUCCUGCUGCAGACAAGGCGCUGGAUGCUUCAACCUCGGCAGAAGGACCAAAGUUAUCUUCUGACCCCCCAGAAUCUUCUACCGUGAAGGAUGUUCCAAACAACAGUCAAAAUGGAACAACCGAGCAAGCAGAAUCAGGUGAUAAGGAAUGA